CGGCCUUUUACUCUUCCCUCUACCCUUUGUGACAUACCUACAACUGUUGCUUCGGCGGGUAGGCCGUCCCCUGUAAAAGGACGCCUCCCGGCCCGGACCGGACCCCCCGCGGGACCGGACCCGGCGCCCGCCGGAGGAUAACCAAACUCUAUUGUAACGACGUUUCUUCUGAGUGGCAUAAGCAAAAUAAUCAAAACUUUUAACAACGGAUCUCUUGGUUCUGGCAUCGAUGAAGAACGCAGCGAAAUGCGAUAAGUAAUGUGAAUUGCAGAAUUCAGUGAAUCAUCGAAUCUUUGAACGCACAUUGCGCCCGCCAGCAUUCUGGCGGGCAUGCCUGUUCGAGCGUCAUUUCAACCCUCAAGCUCUGCUUGGUGUUGGGGCUCUACGGUCGACGUAGGCCCUCAAAGGUAGUGGCGGACCCUCCCGGAGCCUCCUUUGCGUAGUAACAUUUCGUCUCGCACUGGGAUCCGGAGGGACUCUUGCCGUAAAACCCCCCAAUUUUCCAAAGGUUGACCUCGGAUCAGGUAGGAAUACCCGCUGAACUUAAGCAUAUCAAUAAGCGGAGGAA
rnacentral:rRNA from 1 species